AGAGUUUGAUCCUGGCUCAGGAUGAACGCUGGCGGCGUGCUUAACACAUGCAAGUCGAGCGAAGCGGCUGAAUUGAUUCUUCGGAUGAUUUUCAGUUGACUGAGCGGCGGACGGGUGAGUAACGCGUGGGUGACCUGCCCCAUACCGGGGGAUAACAGCUGGAAACGGCUGCUAAUACCGCAUAAGCGCACAGAGCUGCAUGGCUCGGUGUGAAAAACUCCGGUGGUAUGGGAUGGGCCCGCGUCUGAUUAGGCAGUUGGCGGGGUAACGGCCCACCAAACCGACGAUCAGUAGCCGGCCUGAGAGGGCGACCGGCCACAUUGGGACUGAGACACGGCCCAAACUCCUACGGGAGGCAGCAGUGGGGAAUAUUGCACAAUGGGGGAAACCCUGAUGCAGCGACGCCGCGUGAGCGAAGAAGUAUUUCGGUAUGUAAAGCUCUAUCAGCAGGGAAGAUAAUGACGGUACCUGACUAAGAAGCCCCGGCUAACUACGUGCCAGCAGCCGCGGUAAUACGUAGGGGGCAAGCGUUAUCCGGAUUUACUGGGUGUAAAGGGAGCGUAGACGGCAAGGCAAGUCUGAUGUGAAAACCCAGGGCUUAACCCUGGGACUGCAUUGGAAACUGUCUGGCUCGAGUGCCGGAGAGGUAAGCGGAAUUCCUAGUGUAGCGGUGAAAUGCGUAGAUAUUAGGAAGAACACCAGUGGCGAAGGCGGCUUACUGGACGGUAACUGACGUUGAGGCUCGAAAGCGUGGGGAGCAAACAGGAUUAGAUACCCUGGUAGUCCACGCCGUAAACGAUGAUUGCUAGGUGUAGGUGGGUAUGGACCCAUCGGUGCCGCAGCUAACGCAAUAAGCAAUCCACCUGGGGAGUACGUUCGCAAGAAUGAAACUCAAAGGAA
rnacentral:rRNA from 1 species